rnacentral:rRNA from 1 species
GGUGAGGCCCUAUGGGUUUCGCCAUUGGAAUGAGAACAAUAUAAAUCUUUUAACGAGUAACAAGUGGAGGGCAAGUCUGGUGCCAGCAGCCGCGGUAAUUCCAGCUCCACAAGUGUAUUCCUAUAUUGUUGCGGUUUAAAAGCUCGUAGUUGGAUCUGAGUGCUUAGCGGGUGGUACAGUGUUUCACUGUCACUGCUUCGCGGCACAUAACCGUCGACUGGCUGCUGUUGUUGCCUUCACCGGUGACGGCAGUUAGCUAUCGACAUAUUUACUUUGAACAAAUCAGAGUGCUCAAAACAGGCGUUUCGCUUGUAUGUUUUUGCAUGGAAUAAUAGAAUAGGACCUUGGGUCUAUUUUGUUGGUUUUCGGAAUCAAGGUAAUGAUUAAGAGGGACAGACGGGGGCAUUCGUACUGCAACGGGAGAGGUGAAAUUCUUGGAUCGUUGCAAGACGAACUACUGCGAAAGCAUUUGCCAAGAAUGUUUUCAUUAAUCAAGAACGAAAGUAACGGGUUCGAAGGCGAUCAGAUACCGCCCUAGUCGUUACCGUAAACGAUUGUAACCGGGAGCUAGCAGGCGCUUUACUAUGGCUCUGCUAGAACCCACCCGGAAACGAAGAGUUUUCGAUAUCCGGGGGAAGUAUACUUGCAAAUGUGAAACUUAAAGGAAUUGACGGAAGGGCACCACCAGGGGUGGAGCCUGCGGCUUAAUUUGACCCAACACGGUGAAACUCAUCCGGUCCGGACACCGUAAGGAUUGACAGAUUGAGAGCUCUUUCUUGAUUUGGUGGGCAGUGGUGCAUGGCCGUUCUUAGUUGGUGGAGUGAUUUGUCUGGUUUAUUCCGAUAACUAACGAGACUCUAGCCUACUAACUAGUUAUGCGAUCUUCUUGUCGUAUUAACUUCUUAGAGGGACAAGCGGUGCUCAGCCGCAUGAAAAAGAGCAAUAACAGGUCUGUGAUGCCCUUCGAUGUUCGGAGCUGCACGCGCGCUACACUGUAGAAUGCAACGUGCUAGCUUGCCUCGCUCGCAAGAGUGGGGUAAUCGGUUGAAAUUUCUACGUGAUUGGGAUAGGGACUUGUAAUUAUUUCCCUUGAACGAGGAAUCCCUAGUAAGUGCAGGUCAUCAGCUUGUGCUGAUUACGUCCCUGCCCUUUGUACACACCGCCCGUCGCUGCCCGGAACUGAGCCAUUUCGAGAAAAAUGGGGACUGAUUGCUUGUGAGCACGCAAGUGCUUCUUGCAGUCGGAAACCAUCU